rnacentral:sRNA from 1 species
GAAAAAACCAGCGGCGAAUUGCGCUGGCGAAGACAACUAAACCGUCAAUGCCGUGCAAGGGGCGGCAAAAGCGACGCGUUGCGUCUGAAGGACCGGGGGACGGUGGUAAAAACUAUCAAGCCCUGCAACCAAUGCAGCGGAUUCUAGAGCACCGUUUUAUAGAUCGUCAACACUAUAAAACUCCGAAGUUAUAACCAAUUGUAA